rnacentral:rRNA from 1 species
UACGUAGGGUGCGAGCGUUGUCCGGAAUUAUUGGGCGUAAAGAGCUCGUAGGCGGUUUGUCGCGUCUGCCGUGAAAGUCCGGGGCUCAACUCCGGAUCUGCGGUGGGUACGGGCAGACUAGAGUCAGGUAGGGGGAGAACGGAAUUCCUGGUGUAGCGGUGAAAUGCGCAGAUAUCAGGAGGAACACCGGUGGCGAAGGCGGUUCUCUGGGCCUGUACUGACGCUGAGGAACGAAAGCGUGGGGAGCGAACAGG